rnacentral:rRNA from 1 species
CAGCCGCCACGGGAAAACGGAGGGUGCAAGCGUUACUCGGAAUCACUGGGCGUAAAGGACGCGUAGGCGGAUUAUCAAGUCUCUUGUGAAAUCUAACGGCUUAACCGUUAAACUGCUAGGGAAACUGAUAAUCUAGAGUAAGGGAGAGGCAGAUGGAAUUCUUGGUGUAGGGGUAAAAUCCGUAGAGAUCAAGAAGAAUACCCAUUGCGAAAGCGAUCUGCUGGAACUUAACUGACGCUAAUGCGUGAAAGCGUGGGGAGCAAACAGGAUUAGAUACCCCCGUAGUCCCUGUCUCUUAUAC